rnacentral:rRNA from 1 species
AGGGUUUGAUUAUGGCUCAGGACGAACGCUGGCGGCGCGCCUAACACAUGCAAGUCGAACGGAGCUUACAGACGGAAGUUUUCGGAUGGAAGGCUGUAAGCUUAGUGGCGGACGGGUGAGUAACACGUGAGCAACCUGCCUAUCAGAGGGGGAUAACGAUUGGAAACGAUCGCUAAUACCGCAUGACAUAGCGGAACCGCAUGGUUCUGUUAUCAAAGAUUUUAUCGCUGAUAGAUGGGCUCGCGUCCGAUUAGAUAGUUGGUGGGGUAAUGGCCUACCAAGUCGACGAUCGGUAGCCGGACUGAGAGGUCGAACGGCCACAUUGGGACUGAGACACGGCCCAG